rnacentral:piRNA from 1 species
UGAAGUCCAGAGCUUUGCUGAGUGUC